UACAGGGGGUGCAAACGUUGCUCGGAAUUAUUGGGCGUAAAGCGCGCGUAGGCGGCUACUUAAGUCGGAUGUGAAAGCCCUUGGCUCAACUGAGGAAGUGCACCCGAAACUGAGUGGCUUGAGUACGAAAGAGGGUCGCGGAAUUCCCGGUGUAGAGGUGAAAUUCGUAGAUAUCCGAAGGAACACCGGUGGCGAAGGCGGCUUCCUGGACCGACACUGACGCUGAGGCGCGAAAGCUAGGGGAGCAAACGGG
rnacentral:rRNA from 1 species